ensembl:lncRNA
AAGGAAUAUCCUGAGUUGGAAGAGAUCCACAAAGGAUCACCCAAAAUUCAAACCAUUAGUCUGAGAACAAUGUUGGAACACUCUUUGAACUCUGGCAGCUUAGGGCUGUGACCACUGCCCUGGGGAGCUUGUUCCAAUGCCCAACCACCUUCUGCCAUAAUACAUUUCAUGUCUUUACAUCCAACUGACUGCCUAAUUCCAGUUUCCACAUGAAAAUGCUUAUCACAAAAUACUCUUCAUAUCAAUACUGCCAGAGAUCAGGCCCAUUUAGCUGCCUUUUCUGACAGAUAUUCUUGGCUAUGGAGAGCCUGUUAAUAAUGAUUGAAGUAUAUGACAUUUCUCUGGAAUUAAUGAUUGACUACAAGACUCCAGUGGCUCAGUGCUUGGCAAAGGACCGUUCUCUCUAGCAGGCAAUCUUUCCCUGGGAAAUACUCAGAGGUUGCAUGAAGAUUAUCAUUAUUGUUUACAAAAUGAAAUAGUGAAUUUUAAGCAUGAUCGUUGCAAUUGCUCUGUGUUUUCAUUGUUCAGUAUUCUUCAGAUUUAUCUCCACCUCAGUGUUUAGAUUAACAUGUUAUCUUUUUCUCUUAAUUUUACUCUUUGGAAAUCACUUAUUUACAUAAAAGCUUGCAAGAAUCAGUUCUAAUAUUCCACACAGGUAAACACAAAAUAUAUAAUACACACAUAUCUGUAAAAAGUAUGAGGGUGUAAUGUGUUCAUAUAACUUCCACUGAGAAAUGGCUAUACAACGCUAUGUAUGUCCCCCCCAAAACCUACUUUCUAGAUUAAAAUUGAACAAGCAGCAUUGCCAUUGAUCCACAUGUGAAAGUCUCAUUGAAAAGAGAGAAGUAUAAGAGGACUAACGUGCUUUGUAUUAAGGUCUGUGCCUACAGUUAAGUACUUAACUAAGUGGAUAUGUGCUUGAGAAAAGACAUGUUCUGUGGAUAGAAACUUCAUCUUCUCAAUUGUUCCAGAGGCAAAAUGCCUUAGUUAUGGGAUUAAACUAUAGAAAAAAAUAAGUAAUUAUUACUUACUUCAAUGCAAUGACAAAAGGGAUGUCUAGAAAACAGACAGUCUUGAUGCUAUAUUGUGAAAUCUCGUGUUUCUCAGCUUGAUAAAGACAACUGAAAUCAAAGUUUAUUUACAGUUUUAAUUGAAAAACUACUUUAGAAAAUCAUACAUGCCCCAGUACUGUAUGAAGAGCCUGUUUCUCUCAGUUUUAGUUUUGUUAUUUCCAUCGUUAUGCUCAGUGGUUAUAUAUUUUGAUCAUGUAGAUAUUUUGACAACUGCAUGCUAGGAAGGCAUUAUAACACACUGCAGCAGGCAAAAAAAAAAAAAAAAGGGGGCUCACACUCUAGUCAAGAAUAAGUCUAGUUCACCCUUAAGACUCUAAGACAUAACACGGUGAAAAUAACUUUACUGCUAAUAUUAUUAACAGGAACAUAGGGCAUAACUAGAGUAAUUUAUGAUUUAUUAGGGUAAUAUGAUGUAUGGGUUCUGAGUUCAAUAGGUCUUAAGGUGUCACAGGAAACACUGUUUUUCAAAGAGCUUUGAAUCACUCUCCUUUUUUUUUUCCUAGUUCUGAGCUCCGUUUCCUAGGACAUGCCAUUUAGAGUCAGAUCCUGAUCUCAAGGAACUGAGUCCAGCAGAUGUUAGAUUCUAGCCUAAAUACUUUGCCUUUGUUGCUGUUGUAAAAUGCUUAGGGAAAUCCCCAGGAACUUAGCAAAACAAGGGACUCAUACCAUAGGCAGUCAGGAUUGAUGGCCCACAAAAUAAAUCCUGUUUCGAUGCUAUUAUUUCUGCACAUGCAUAGCACUAAUCAGGCAAAAUAUGUAAGCACCUUUUCAGCAACAGGGAAACUUGUAUAAUCUUAUGUACUUGACAAGACUGGCCCUUAAAUGUCUACAGAUACAACAGUAAGUAUGAUUCACUUUUGUGCAGUACUUUCAGCACAAACUGCAUCACAAAGUGUUAAAUAAUAAAUAACAGCAGAGUGAAGUAUACACAAGAGAGGAAUGAUAUGAUUUCAGAGGAGACUUGAAAGGGGAUGUUGAUGAGGUGGAGGUUUUAAAAAUUAAAUAUUAACAAAAAGGUUGGUUUGGCUGAGACCAAUUGUUUUUCUCUGCUGAGGAAUAAAGGGGAUUUCUGACCUGCAGAAAGUCUUACUGCCAACCCGUUUGGUGGAAUCAUCACAAUGUACUUGGAGUCUAUUUUUAAGAGAAAGCAAAGGAUCACAAUUAGCUAACGACAGCCCUCUCCAAUUCCAAACGUCUGCUUUGUCCUCUGCCUCACCUCUCUGUUAUUUACUGCUUCACAACUCCACAUGAACCUGGCCCAAGUUCCUGGAGAGCAGUGGCCGCGCAGCCCCUCUCCCUGAGCUGAGGCCAUCCAGAUGUUUCCCUGAGGAGCAGGGAAGCUGCUUGUAACCCCAGCCCACACUGCUACAUUGCACCAUAACGGGCUUAUUUCCUACAUUUGGUGGCAGCAUAGCAUUCAGGAUAAUACUAUUGCUGUUUGUGCAGGUUGCUGCCAAAGCAAACGGUGGGGAUGACGGAGUCAAGCAGCAGGGAUGGGGAACGAAUGGCUAAAAACUCUUCCCAGAGUCAAUGCUCUGUUUGGGGAAAGUUAUUUUAAUUCAGUGUCUUACUGUGUCCCCAG